rnacentral:rRNA from 1 species
UACGUAGGGAGCAAGCGUUGUCCGGAAUCAUUGGGCGUAAAGCGCGCGUAGGUGGCUUCGUAAGUCCGUUGUGAAAGUCAAAGGCUCAACCUUUGAAAGCCGAUGGAUACUGCGGAGCUAGAGUACGGAAGAGGCGAGUGGAAUUCCCGGUGUAGCGGUGAAAUGCGCAGAUAUCGGGAGGAACACCAAUGGCGAAGGCAGCUCGCUGGGACGGUACUGACGCUGAGACGCGAAAGCGUGGGGAGCAAACAGG